CUCCCUGUCACCCCCUCCUUGCCCCCAUCUCCCUUUACCCAUCCUGGCCCUUGUGAGCCAUCAUGGGCCACAAUCAUCCUUCUACAAAGUGUGAGGCAGAACAAUGAACACAAACCAGAAUUCACUUAUGCAACAAGUCAGGAGAUGCUAAUGCACUUUUAGCCUCCUCCUUGGCAAUGGCCUUCAGAGAGACAAAAAGCUGAGUCCUGGCUCAGCAACAGGGUGGUGCCUCCAGCAGGUUACCUGCCUUCUGCGAGCCGUAGCUUCCUCAUUUUUAAAACAAGGGGGCUUGGAUAUUAUGGUCUCGGAGGUAUCCCCUGCUCUAAAACUGCUGAGCCUGAAGUACAUGCUUCGGAAUCCUCUCAGUCAUGUCUGACCCUGGCCCUCUGAGAGUGGAUUUUAUUUUUAGAAGCUGCCAAAAGCCACCUUGUGAUGCCAACUUUGGUGACUAAGGUGGGUGAUGGCGCCGAGAGAUGCCAUGUUUGGUCACAAAUGAGGGUGACUAGAGACCAGCAGGGCAGUUCCUCAUUCUGAGACCACACCCUAAGACAAGUCCAAAAAUAGAUCCCAUCUGUGUGACUGACUUGAUGGAAAACAACACUGAGGUCCUCUGUCCUCAUCAUUUCUCUCUGGACCUCAGUGUCCUAGUCUAUGAAAUGGAAGAGGGGAGGAGUUGAACCCUCAUCUAGACCUAGAAUGUCUUUCCCAAGUACUCAAGUGAGAAGUGUCUUUCUCUUUAAUAAAAUCCCUUCACAUAGGGAUUUCUUUCAUUCUUUAAGGGCCUCCCUGGCCCCCAAGACCCUUGAAAGUAAGCUCACUCCCUCUCAGGGCCGACUUCCCAGCAUCCCAUGGCGCUAUGUGCUGUUAUGGCCACCAGGUGGCAGUACAAUCCCGCUCUGAAUCUCCCUCAGCCUGCAUCAUCCUUUAGCAGCUUCACAAUUACCACCAGCCCUCCCUGGGGCAUACACCACAAGGGAUGCUGAAGACCAAAAUGAAUCAGACCCUGCCCCUGCUCUACAGCACGAGCUCCUGAAGCUCACGGAAGUGGUCACUCCUGAGGAUCCCUGCCCCUCCUCUCCCUUGCAUUGCCGGCCCUCAGUCCUGCAAUGCUGAGAUCUCCAAACUCCCCAGCAGGGCAUUCAGGACCCUCUGCAAUCAGGUCUCACCCCCAGGCCUACAGCCUGUUCUUCCAAACCAGAGCCACAGGGAUCUAAAUGAAAAGGAGACGAACACCCCCCUACACUUCCUGGCUGGGCAGCAGAGAGUGAUGCCAGAACCCUCCAAGUGUGUGCCAACCUCAAUGCCUUUCCAUAAGCUCUUCCCUCUGCCUGGAACACUUUUGUUGCUUCAGGAGUCAGCUCGAAUAUAACUUCUUCAGAGACCCAAGCCCCCAGUCUAAAUUAAACACUCCGUUAUCCCAGCAGCCUGUACCUUAUGUUCCUAGAAUGGAUCACGAUUGUAAUAAAAGCAUGAUUGGUGUAAGCA